CCUACGGGAGGCAGCAGUGAGGAAUAUUGGUCAAUGGUCGGGAGACUGAACCAGCCAAGCCGCGUGAGGGAUGAAGGUACAGAGUAUCGUAAACCUCUUUUGUCAGGGAACAAAGGCGGGGACGCGUCCCCGGAUGAGUGUACCUGAAGAAAAAGCAGCGGCUAACGCCGUGCCAGCAGCCGCGGUAAUACGGAGGAUGCGAGCGUUAUCCGGAUUUAUUGGGCGUAAAGGGAACGCAGGCUGUCUUUUAAGUCGGAUGUGAAAGCCUUCGGCUUAACCGGAGUAGUGCCUUGGAAACUGGGAGACUUGAGUGCAGCUGAGGCGAGUGCAACUCCAUUUGUAGCUGU
rnacentral:rRNA from 1 species